rnacentral:rRNA from 1 species
CCGACGGUGAGGGAUGAAAGCUGGGGGCACGAACCGGAUUAGAUACCCGGGUAGUCCCAGCCGUAAACGAUGCUCGCUAGGUGUCAGGCAUGGCGCGACCGUGUCUGGUGCCGCAGGGAAGCCGUGAAGCGAGCCACCUGGGAAGUACGGCCGCAAGGCUGAAACUUAAAGGAAUUGGCGGGGGAGCACAACAACGGGUGGAGCCUGCGGUUUAAUUGGACUCAACGCCGGACAACUCACCGGGGGUGACAGCAAUAUGUAGGCCAAGCUGAAGACUUUGCCUGAAUCGCUGAGAGGAGGUGCAUGGCCGUCGCCAGUUCGUACUG